UACGUAGGGGGCAAGCGUUGUCCGGAUUUAUUGGGCGUAAAGAGCGUGUAGGCGGCCUGACAAGUCUGCUGUGAAAACUCGAGGCUCAACCUCGAGAUGUCGGCGGAAACUGUCUGGCUAGAGUCCGGAAGAGGAGAGUGGAAUCCUGGUGUAGCGGUGAAAUGCGCAGAUAUCAGGAAGAACACCUAUGGCGAAGGCAGCUCUCUGGGACGGUACUGACGCUGAGACGCGAAAGCGUGGGGAGCGAACAGG
rnacentral:rRNA from 1 species